UGGGGAAUUUUGGACAAUGGGGGAAACCCUGAUCCAGCCAUCCCGCGUGUGCGAUGAAGGCCUUCGGGUUGUAAAGCACUUUUGGCAGGAAAGAAACGUCAUGGGUUAAUACCCCGUGAAACUGACGGUACCUGCAGAAUAAGCACCGGCUAACUACGUGCCAGCAGCCGCGGUAAUACGUAGGGUGCAAGCGUUAAUCGGAAUUACUGGGCGUAAAGCGUGCGCAGGCGGUUCGGAAAGAAAGAUGUGAAAUCCCAGAGCUCAACUUUGGAACUGCAUUUUUAACUACCGGGCUAGAGGGUGUCAGAGGGGGGUGGAAUUCCGCGUGUAGCAGUGAAAUGCGUAGAUAUGCGGAGGAACACCGAUGGCGAAGGCAGCCUCCUGGGAUAACACUGACGCUCAUGCACGAAAGCGUGGGGAGCAAACAGG
rnacentral:rRNA from 1 species